ACGCUCGACACCUACUGGAGGCAGCAGUGGGGAAUAUUGCACAAUGGGGGAAACCCUGAUGCAGCGACGCCGCGUGAGUGAAGAAGUAUUUCGGUAUGUAAAGCUCUAUCAGCAGGGAAGAAGAUGACGGUACCUGAGUAAGAAGCCCCGGCUAACUACGUGCCAGGAGCCGCGGUAAUCUGAGCGGGCUGGCAAGGC
rnacentral:rRNA from 1 species